UUUCUUGCCAAAUUCUUUCUCGCAGUUUCUCAGAGACCUUGAAACAAAGAGUCUUUGCUUCUCUGUUUCCCCAGCUUCUCUCUUUUACCAAAAUCCUUUUCCUUUCAAUUUGAUCCUUUCUUGUUUCAAUCUCAUCGUCGUUCUCUCUCUCUCUCUCUCUCUCUCUGCUUGGAUUUUAAUGAAUAAUCAUUUGCUGAAUCGUUGAAUUCCUGCUUGGAAAAAUUUUGAUCAGUUUUUCGCUCUGUGGAAGAAUGCCUUCGAAGCGAAGAAAGGAGAAGUAAACGGGAAGCAAACAGAAAAAAAAAAAAUAGAAUGCGAACGCUUUGUGACGUCUGCGAGAGCGCCGCCGCUAUCCUUUUCUGCGCCGCCGACGAGGCCGCUCUUUGCCGUUCCUGCGACGAAAAGGUUCACAUGUGUAACAAGCUUGCAAGUAGACAUGUGAGAGUUGGGUUAGCAGACCCCAGCGAUGUCCCACGCUGUGAUAUAUGUGAAAAUGCUCCUGCGUUCUUUUAUUGUGAAGUGGAUGGUAGUUCCCUUUGCCUGCAAUGUGAUAUGAUUGUACAUGUUGGAGGUAAACGGACCCAUGGGAGAUAUCUCUUGUUGAGGCAGAGAGUUGAGUUUCCAGGGGAUAAGCCUGGUCGUUUGGACGAACUGGGGUUGCAAACGCUUGAUCCAAACGAAGUAAGGAAGGAUAAGAAUCAGCAGCAACCUAAGCUUGCAGCAAGAGAGAACCAGCAAAAUCAUAGAGUCUCUCCUGUUCCAGUGCUUGAUGGUAAUUCUGAUGGGGAUGGAAAGGUGGGUAAUAAAUUGAUUGAUCUAAAUGCCAAGCCCCAACGAGUGCAUGGUCAAGCUUCAACCAAUCAGGAGCAAGGCAUGGAUAUUUCGAGUGGCAAUAAUCAUGACUCUUCAAGUGUGGUCCCUGUUGGAUCCUUCAAAAGAGAGCCUGAUAAGUGAGCUAGGUGGCGUUUGAAAUACUUGGAAGGUUUUUCUGAGUAGAGCUUGACCUGUUGAGCAGUUCCUUCCUAUUGAAACACAUGAGAAACAGAAAGAUUGACAAUUAGCUGUUUAUGAGUUUUUAACCUAUUGAGUAAGAAUGAGCUUCUGUCUUGGGGGCAAGUUGUGCUAAUAUCUUCCAAGAAAAAUUCUGUCAAAUGCAAGUAAACUUCAUGCAGGGUAAAAAUAACUUUUGAAGCCAAAUGAUGAUGUUGCUGGAUGAUCUCUCACAUCUGUGUAUUUCUUGAGGGCUUGCGGUCCUUGUCAGAUAUAUCUUCCUUCCCCAUGGGUUAGGCUUCUGUCUGUUCCAUUCCUUGCACAAAAAUGAAAACUGUUGAAGAUAAUUUUUACCCAUGUACCUAAAUCAAAUAUUCUUGCCUAACCGAGUAGUGAAGUUGUGACGUUUUUAUUUGUGCCAAUGGAAGUAUACACCCUCGUUAAUGUCCUUUUCAAUUAAAAAUUUCCAUCAAAA